AUGCUAAUGAGUGUGCAAACCCCACUGCACACUCUUGCACGCCCGUUCCCCGUUGCACAACCCACUGCACGCCCAUGCCCCAUUGCACACCCCAUUGUGCACACAUGUCCCAUUGCACUGUCUCUUGCACACUCAUCCCAUGGCACAUCCCUGUCCUGUUGCACAUUCAAGUCCUCUUGCACAAUCGUCCUGUUGCACGUCUGGGUCCUCUUGCACGUCCCGUUGCACGCUCAAGUCCCAGGGAACCACGCUCCCUUGCACACUCAAGUCUCCUUGCACAACCCAAUCCUGUUGCAAAUUGAUCCCCUUGCACGUCCACCUCUUCUUUCACCUCCAAGUCCUGUUGCACUCUCAAUUUGCACGGCACAUCCAAAUCCCAUUGCACGCGGACUUUUUUUGCACACCCACGUGCCACCACACAUCCUAAUUGUGGUGCACUUCCACAUCCCAUUGCACACCCCGGUUGUGCUGCACGCCUACAUCCUCUUCCAUGUCCAAGUAGCCUUGCACACUCUAUUCCCACUUCACGUACAAAUCUCGUUGCACACUCAAAUUCUGUUGCACAUCCAAGUCCUAGUGCACGUCCAAAUCCCAUUUCACAUCCAAGUUGCCUUGCACACUCACAUCCCAUUGCACGUCCAAGUUGCUUUGCACACCCAAAUCCUGUUGCACACCCACAUGUUGCUGCAAGUCACAGUUGCGUUGCACACUCAAAUCCCAUUGCAAGUCCAAGUGUCAUUGCACGUCCAAGUGUUGUUGCAAGUCUCAGUUGUGUUGCACACCCCCAUCCCCUUGCAUGUCCCAGUUGUGUUGCACGGCCUGUUUGCA
rnacentral:lncRNA from 1 species